GCUCCUGAUUCAAAGUCUGGGUAUCGGUUGGCUUAGUCAUACUUCUGUGACCCAGCUGCAAGGAAGUCUGGGAGAGCAAAUCUGGUGGUGUCAGGUUUUGUAAUAGGAGGCCAAUUCUGCUUCUCCAAAUAUUCCUAAAUUGAAGGCUUUUCCAGACACAGAAAAGGGAUUCAUAUGCUUUGGAACCUACUGAAAUGAUCCUAUGUUUCACUUUCUUCACAUGUUAAUAUUCUGAAUUUUUUUUUUCUCAUUUCACAUCUUUGAGUGCUUGGGAUUAACAUUACUUGACCAUUAUUAAUUAUUCUUUUAAUAUCAUUCCACGUUGGUUUGCUCACAUUUUACUUAGACCUUUUACAUCUAAGUUAGAAAAUAGAAGUGGCUUGUAGAUUGCUUUUGAGGGGCUUUGUCUUUUUCUAUUUGUUUGUUUGGUUUUGUUACCAGAGUUAUGCUGGCUUUAGAAAUUGAGUUGGAAAAUUUUAUAUUCUCUGGAAAAAUUAGAGAUCAUAGGGAUUUUCCGUUCAAUGCAGGGUUGGUGGAAUUCACCUAUAAAACCAUCUGGACUUGAUGCCAUUUGGGGGAUAGCUUCUGGAAUACCUUUCCAAUUUCUACUAUAAUUUUUGGUCUGUUGAGGUUUCUUGGGUCAAUUUUGAUCUUGAGUCAAUCUUGGUAAUUGAUGGUUUCUCAUAAAAUAUUUCAUGUGGCUAUUCAAAUUUAUUAUUGCAGGUUUGAACACAUACUUUUAUCAUUUGUUAAAAUCUCCAUUUCUGUAGUCAUGAGCCCUAAUGUUGUUUGUCUUUUCUCUCUCUCUUUCUCCCCACCCCUCUUUUUUUCCUCACUGGACUUGCCAAAGAUUAUUCUAUUUUACUGGACUAGUCAAAGAACCAGAUUUUUUUUUUAAGAUUUUAUUUAUUUAUUUGACAGAGAGAGACACAGAGCGAGAGGGAACAUAAGCAGGGGGAGUGGGAGAGGGAGAAGCAGGCUUCCCGCUGAGCAGGGAGCCCGAUGCAGGGCUCGAUCCCAGGACCCUGGAAUCACGACCCGAGCCGAAGGCAGACGGUUAAUGACUGAGCCACCCAGGUGCCCCAGAACCAGUUUUUUUAAAAAAGAUUUUACUUAUUUAUUUAAUAGAGAUAGUGAGAGAGCACAAGCAGGGGAGGGGUAGGCAGAAGGAGAGGGAGAAGCAGACUCCCUGCUGAGCAAGGAGCUUGAUGCGGGACUCAAUCCCAGGACCCUGAGAUCAUGACCUAAGCUGAAGGCAGACACUCAACUGACUGAGCCACCCAGGUGCCCCAAAGAACCAGAUUUAUUAGUUUUACUAGUCAAUUGCUUUUUUUUUCCUCUUUGAUGAUAAAUGUCUGCUUCCACCUUUAAUCUUACUUUGAGCUUAUUUUCACGUUCUCUUCCUACCUUCUUGAGUUGAAGUCUUAGUUCACUUAUUUUCAAUCUUUCUUGCUUUUCAGGUAAAUCCACUUAAUUCAUACUUUUCAUCUUAGUACUGCUUUGUGCCACUUAACAUGUUUUAUCAUGUAAUACCUAAGGGGAAUAUGUGUAAUUUUUUUUUAUCCAGCAUCCAUUCCUCUCGGAUAAGAGGACCCCAGUUUCCUUUUGGGAGACUUCAUCUCCUCAGACGAGUACAGACUUGAUAGGAGUAUAGAAGUAGGCACGCUGCCCUCUCACUUUGGAAACCCAAAUGUCUUUGGAAGUUCCUUCCACCGGGUACUUCCUGUCUCCACCUGAGUUUAGCUCCGGGAUGUAACCUAAUCAUGGACAACUGUUCCCCUUGUCCUAGGAUUUCAAAUGGUGAAUGUGGUGACAAGAAAAGAGAAAAUAGAACUGGACAGCAUUCAUUUCAAGAAAGUGUUCAGGAGGGGCACCUGGGUGGCUCAGUCAGUUAAGCAUCUGCCUUCGGCUCAGGUCAUGAUCACUGGGUCCUGGGAUCGAGCCCCGCAUCGGGCUCCCUGCUUGGCGGGAAGCCUACUUCUCCCUCUCCCACUCCCCUGCUUGUGUUCCCUCUCUCUCUGUGUCUCUCUCUGUCAAAUAAAUAAAUAAAAUCUUUAAAAAAAAAAAAAAGAAAGUGUUCAGGAAAAGUGUAGAGUGGUUCCUCCUACAAAGGCCCCAUUGCUACCUGAUUCCCAGGCAAUCCUGGACUGUCCACGUUCACUUGUACCCAGUGAGUCCCGCAUCUUUCCAACAAGUCUCUAUUGCAGUAAGUCAGGCAGAGUUGAUCUCAUCCAAAGAGUCCAAUUCAAUGUUCUACCUGUGGUUCAUUUUUAAAGAGUUGGUGCAGGAGACAUUAGUUGGAGGAUCCAUUCAACUUUUCUUUUUUUUUUUUUUCUUUUGGAAAAUUACUCCUACUCCAUCCUUGGGAUUCUUGGUGGGAAUGAUUCUAUCCCAGCUGCAUAAGUGGACCUCAGCCAACCACUAGGUCCCAGACAAGUAGCCUGAUAUAAGCUGGUCAGAGUAUCCCGUGGUCAGAGUGAGACUGGCCCAGGGACAGAAACAAAGUCAGUGGGUCCUUUCCAUAACAAAGCCCAAGACUUCGUGGGAUGGUUGAAGAAAGCAUACUUUCUCUGGAUGUGGACAGGAAAUAUGUAACCCCAGAUGAGCUGUAGGCAUCCACCUUGUGAUCACAAGGGCUGUGGUCUUAGGAUGAAGCUAAUGUCAGAGAAGGCAUAAAAAGAAAAUGGGAAGAAACCAUUGGCAUCACUGAGAUGCUGUAUCAAACCAAUUGUGAAGUUCUGUGAGCCAAAAAUCUGCUUAUUUCUUUAAAAAAAACAAUUGGUACUGGGAUAUUUACUUGCAACAUAAUGAGCUUUAAGAGGUAAAGACUAGGGCACCUGGGUGGCUCAGUUGGUUGAGCGACUGCCUUCGGCUCAGGUCAUGAUCCUGGAGUCCCGGGAUCGAGUCCCGCAUCGGGCUCCCUGCUCAGCGGGGAGUCUGCUUCUCCCUCUGACGCUCCUCCCUCUCAUGCUCUCUGUCUCUCAUUCUCUCUCUCUCAAAUAAAUAAAUAAAAUCUUAAAAAAAAAAAAAGAGGUAAAGAUUAUAUUUUCCAUUUUUCUUUUUUUUUUUUUUUAAGUAGAGUUGUCUGCAAAGGUAUUUUUUAAAUUUCAGGUGAAUUUUUAAACAUUAGAUUCACGUGCAAUUGUAAGAAAUAAGAGAGAGAUCCUGUGUACCCUUUAUCCACAACCACUGCUCUGUUCUUCAUUUCUAUAAUCUUGUUGCAUCAAGAAUGUGCUAUAGGGGCACCUGGGUGGCUCAGUCGUUGGGCGUCUGCCUUCAGCUCAGGUCAUGAUCCCGGGGUCCUGGGUUCGAGUCCCGCAUCGGGCUACCUGCUCUGCAGGGAGCCUGCUUCUCCCUCUCCCACUCCCCCUGUUUGUGUUCCCUCUCUCUGUGUGUCUCUCUCUGUCAAAUAAAUAAAUAAAAUCUUUAAGAAAAUGUUCUAUAAAUGGGAUCAUACAGAAUAUGACCUUUGGGAGUGGGCUUUUUUUCACUCAGCAUACUUUGUGGAGAUUCAUAGUUUGUAGCGUGUGUUGGUAGUUCAUUUCUUUUCAUUGCUGGGUAGUAUUCCAUUGCAUGGAUGUAGCACAGUUUAACCAUUCAAUAACUGAAGGCCAUCUGGGCUGAUUCCAGUUGUUAGCUGUUAUAAAUAAAUCUGCCUUAAACAUUAGUGUACAGAUUUUUGUGUGAACAUCAGUCUUCAUUUCCCUGGGAAAAUGUCCAGGGGUACAAUUUCUGGGUCAUAUGGUAGUUGUGUGUUUGUUUUGGGGAGUUUAUCUUUGGGUUAUUCUUUUUUUUUUUUUAAUUUAUUUUUUAUUUAUUUAUUAGAGAGAGAGAGUGAGCAUGAGCAGGGGGAAGGGUAGGGAUAGAAUCUCAAGCAGACUCCUCACUGAGAGUGGAGCCUGAUGCGGGGCUCAAUCUCACAACCCUGAGAUCAUGACCUGAGCCAAAAUCAAGAGUCAGAUGCUGAACCGACCGAGCCACCCAGGUGCCUCUUUUUGUGUUAUUCUUUGGGUUUGUUCUAUUUGGGGUUUGCUCGACUUCUUGCAUGUCUGUUUAUGUUUCUUUACAAAUUUGGGUAGUCUCUCAGGACACCUGGGUGGCUCAGAUGGUUAAGUGUGUGCUUUUGGCUCAGGUCAUGAUCUCCAGGUCCUGGGAUCGAGUCCUGCAUGGGGCUCCCAGCUCAACAUGGCAGAUGUUUUAUUAGAGUCCCAGAGCUUCCUGAGACUUCCUUUUUUAAGAUUUAUUUAUUUUAGAGACAGAGUGAGAGCACAAGUGGAAAAGGGGAUAGGACCAGAGGGUAGAGGGACAAGUAGAGUCCCCAUGUGGACUUGAUCCCAGGACCCUGAGGUCCUGACCUGAGCUGAAAUCAAGAGCCAGAUGCUUCACCGACUGAGCCACCCGGGCGCCCCCCGCCUUUAGGAGUCUGUUUUCUCUCUGUUGUUCCGAAAGGGUGAUUUCUAUAGUUGUAUCUUCCAGCCCACUGAUUCUUUUCUCUGUUCUCUCCAUUGUGUUGCGGGGCCCACUCCCUGAGCUUUAAUUUCAGCUGUCCUGCCUUUCAGCUCUACAGUCUCCCUCUGGUCCUUCUUUAGAUCUUCUAUGCUUUUGCUGAAGUCAGGUCUGCAUCUGUCUCAAGCGUAUCCAUAACGUCUUGUUAAAGCAUUUUUAUCGUGGCUGCUUUAAAAUAUUUUCCAGAGAAUCCUCACACCUCUGUCCUUUGGCUGUUGGCAGCCGCUGGUUGUCUUUGUUAUUCAUCUCAAGGUCUUUGCGGUUCUUGGUAUGAGUAAUGAUUUUUUUUUUUUAAUGGAAACAUGGCCAUUUUUGUAUUAUUUGAUGAGAGUCUGGGUCUAAAACCUUCUGUUCUAGCUGGCUUUUUCUAACACCGCCCUGGUGAGGAAAGGCGCCGCCAGGCGGCGUUCGAAGUUCAAGUCCCCCCUGUGGUUCCCCGCUGGCUCGGGCAGAGUCCCCGCUCCCCUGCUUGGCCUUCCCAGAGAGCCCCCCUCCCCGGCAGGGAUGUUGGGGCGACUCAUGACAAGCCUGAGGAGGGUGGAAAUCUGGGCUCACCCUUUGGCCUUUGCAGGUGUGGGUGUGGCCACAGUUUGUGGUAUUUGUCUGGAAUAGAGUGGUGAUUUUCCGAGUUUUGUUUUUUUUUUUUUUAAGAGUUUGUUUAGUUAUUUGUCGGAGAACGGGCACAAGCAGGGCGAGUGGCAGGCAGAAGGAGAGGGAGAAGCAGACUCCCCGCCAAGCAGGGAGCCCAAUGUGGGGCUCCAUCCGGCGACCCUGAGAUCAUGAGAAUGUUCCGGAGUUUAGUUGGACUUAAUGGGCCGAACAGGGGAAAAGCACAUCCACCCCAUCUUCCCAGAAGCAGAAAUCUCCCUGGUGGCUUUGGCUACUUUUUACUGAGAGAGCGAGCGAGCACAAGCAGGGGGAGUAGCAGAGGGAGAAGGAGAAGGAGGUUCCCUGCUGAGCAUGGAGCCUGACGUGGGACUUGAUCCCAGAACCCUGAGAUCCUGACCUGAGCCGAAGGCAGACGCUUCACCGGCUGAGCCACCCAGGCGCCCCGAGUAGAACUGAAUCCUUCACAGUCGACUAUAGGCCCGCUGUUUGCCAUCGCUGAUGUGGAGUAGAGUAUUGACAGGAGAAACGUUCUUGAUGACUAGUUCUCUCCUAACAAAGAAUAUCAAACGAAGGGUCUUUUUCGUGAUCUCAUCACGGGACCGAGGGGACUUUUGGAAGGAAAAUACGGUCGGGCAAGACAAAAACCUUCCCAAGAACAUGGCCUGUGUGUCAGAAGUGUGUGCCCAUAAUUGUAAGGAGGGGAAGAAAUGGAGUCAUAAUUUAUACACAGAGAAGCGCACCCGUGGCUUUUUAAAAAUAGUUGAGUUCCACUUACUUCAAAUACGAGUAGAUACUGCAUGUUCAUGGAAGAGGAUCCCCAGUGGAAUCCUCGGCAGGAUCUGCGUGGCAGCAGUCAUGCUCCAAAUGGCCCUCUCUCUCUGGAGCCAAGCCCACGACGUUCUGGAAGGUUCCCUGGAAUGCACCGUCUGUUCUCAGAGGAGAACUUACAGGAGACCUGGAAU